rnacentral:rRNA from 1 species
CCUACGGGUGGCUGCAGUGGGGAAUAUUGGACAAUGGGCGAAAGCCUGAUCCAGCCAUGCCGCGUGUGUGAAGAAGGCCUUCGGGUUGUAAAGCACUUUCAGUGGGGAAGAAAGCCUUGGGGCUAAUACCCUCGAGGAAGGACAUCACCCACAGAAGAAGCACCGGCUAACUCCGUGCCAGCAGCCGCGGUAAUACGGAGGGUGCGAGCGUUAAUCGGAAUUACUGGGCGUAAAGCGCGCGUAGGCGGUCUGAUAAGCCGGUUGUGAAAGCCCCGGGCUCAACCUGGGAACGGCAUCCGGAACUGUCAGGCUAGAGUGCAUGAGAGGAAGGUAGAAUUCCCGGUGUAGCGGUGAAAUGCGUAGAGAUCGGGAGGAAUACCAGUGGCGAAGGCGGCCUUCUGGACUGACACUGACGCUGAGGUGCGAAAGCGUGGGUAGCAAACAGGAUUAGAUACCCUAGUAGUC